rnacentral:misc_RNA from 1 species
GUGACAAUGUUGGGUUCAAUGUGAAGAACGUGGCAGUGAAACAUCUCAAGAGAGGUUAUGUUGUAUCGAACUCCAAGGAUGAUCCUGCUAAGGAGGCUGCCAAUUUCACAUAUCAGGUUAUCAUCAUGAACCACCUUGGUCAGAUUGGAAAUGGAUAUGCCCCAGUUUUGGACUGCCAGACCUCCCAUAUUGCAGUGAAGUUUGCUGAGAUCUUGACCAAGAUUGAUCGUCGGUCAGGAAAGGAGCUCGAGAAGGAACCCAAGUUCUUGAAGAACGGUGAUGCUGGUUUUGUUAAGAUGAUUCCCACUAAGCCCAUGGUGGUUGAGACCUUCUCCGAGUAUCCUCCAUUGGGUCGUUUUGCUGUUAGGGACAUGCGCAGACUGUUGCAGUUGGUGUUAUCAAGAGCGUGGAGAAGAAGGACCCAACUGGAGCUAAGGUCACAAAAUCAGCUGCCAAGAAGGGAGGGAAGUGAAUUGUUCGUCCCACAAAUUCUGUUGUGAACAUUUUAUAUUGCAAUUAUAAAUUGUUUAGAUGUUUAUUUAGAGGUUGUAUUUUGAGUUUCCUAGGUACACCAUUCGGGUUUUGCAGCCAGAAUGGGCUAUAGGACAGGGCAGUGGGCGGACUCUAUUCAUCUUCAU